rnacentral:rRNA from 1 species
UACGUAGGGUGCGAGCGUUAAUCGGAAUUACUGGGCGUAAAGCGUGCGCAGGCGGCUUUCUAAGUCAGGGGUGAAAUCCUGGAGCUCAACUCCAGAACUGCCUUUGAUACUGGAGAGCUUGAGUCCGGAAGAGGUGAGUGGAACUCCGAGUGUAGAGGUGAAAUUCGUAGAUAUUCGGAAGAACACCAGUGGCGAAGGCGGCUCACUGGUCCGGUACUGACGCUGAGGUGCGAAAGCGUGGGGAGCAAACAGG